AAUUCCAGCUCCAAUAGUGUAUAUUAGAGUUGUUGCAGUUAAAAAGCUCGUAGUUGGAUUUCUGUUAUGGUCAUCGGGUGUCGCCCAUCGUUGUGGGUGUGCGCCUGGUAUGAUCGUGGCUUUUUUCUGGUAGCCAUCAUCCGCGCUUAAUUGCGUGUGUGUUGGUGUUCUAGAACUUUUACUUUGAGAAAAAUAGAGUGUUUCAAGCAGGCUUGUCGCCCUGAAUACUUCAGCAUGGAAUAAUAGGAUAGGACCUCGGUUCUAUUUUGUUGGUUUCUAGGACCAAGGUAAUGAUUAAUAGGGACAGUUGGGGGCAUUCGUAUUUAACUGUCAGAGGUGAAAUUCUUAGAUUUGUUAAAGACGAACUACUGCGAAAGCAUUUGCCAAGGAUGUUUUCAUUAAUCAAGAACGACAGUAGGGGGUUUGAAGACGAUUAGAUACCGUCGUAAUCUCUACCAUAAACUAUGCCGACUAGAGAUAGGGAAACGCCUACCUUGGCUUCUCCUG
rnacentral:rRNA from 1 species